rnacentral:rRNA from 1 species
CCUACGGGAGGCAGCAGUGAGGAAUAUUGGUCAAUGGGCGCGAGCCUGAACCAGCCAAGUCGCGUGAGGGAAGACGGUCCUAUGGAUUGUAAACCUCUUUUGUCGGGGAGCAAAAGACGCCACGCGUGGCGUUCCGAGAGUACCCGAAGAAAAAGCAUUGGCUAACCUCCGGCCAGCAGCCGCGGGAAUACGGAGGAUGCGAGCGUUAUCCGGAUUUAUUGGGUUUAAAGGGUGCGGAGGGGGAAGUUCAAGUCAGCGGUAAAAUUGAGAGGCUCAACCUCUUCGAGCCGUUGAAACUGGGGAUCUAGAGUGUGCGAGAGGUAUGCGGAAUGCGUGGUGUAGCGGUGAAAUGCAUAGAUAUCACGCAGAACCCCGAUUGCGAAGGCAGCAUACCGGUGCACAACUGACGCUCAGGCACGAAAGCGUGGGUAUCGAACAGGAUUAGAUACCCGAGUAGUC